ensembl:misc_RNA Y_RNA Y RNA
GGCUGGUUUCAGUGCAGUGGUGUUUACAAAUAAUUGAUCACAGCCAGUAUAGAUUUCUUUAUGUUUUUCCACUGUCACUGGUUCACUUAGCUAGUCUUUC